GCGAGCCUGAUCCAGCCAUGCCGCGUGUGUGAAGAAGGCCUUCGGGUUGUAAAGCACUUUCAGCGAGGAAGAACGCCUUGGGAUUAAUACUCCCGAGGAAAGACAUCACUCGCAGAAGAAGCACCGGCUAACUCCGUGCCAGCAGCCGCGGUAAUACGGAGGGUGCAAGCGUUAAUCGGAAUUACUGGGCGUAAAGCGCGCGUAGGUGGCUAAGUCAGCCAGGUGUGAAAGCCCCGGGCUCAACCUGGGAACGGCAUCUGGAACUGCUUGGCUAGAGUGCAGGAGAGGAAGGUAGAAUUCCCGGUGUAGCGGUGAAAUGCGUAGAGAUCGGGAGGAAUACCAGUGGCGAAGGCGGCCUUCUGGACUGACACUGACACUGAGGUGCGAAAGCGUGGGUAGCAAACAGGAUUAGAUACCCUGGUAGUCCACGCCGUAAACGAUGUCAACUAGCCGUUGGGUCCCUUGAGGACUUAGUGGCGCAGCUAACGCAAUAAGUUGACCGCCUGGGGAGUACGGCCGCAAGGUUAAAACUCAAAUG
rnacentral:rRNA from 1 species